GUUCCAGGAGCUGAUCCCAGGUGUUCCAGGAGCUGAUCCCAUCUCUCCCCUGUCCCAGGUGUUCCAGGAGCUGAUCCCAGGUGUUCCAGGAGCUGAUCCCAUCUCUCCCCUGUCCCAGGUGUUCAGGAGCUGAUCCCA